AUUGAACGCUGGCGGCAUGCCUUACACAUGCAAGUCGAACGGCAGCACGGGAGCAAUCCUGGUGGCGAGUGGCGAGCGGGUGAGUAAUAUAUCGGAACGUGCCCAGUCGUGGGGGAUAACGUAGCGAAAGCUAAGCUAAUACCGCAUACGAUUUAUGGAUGAAAGCGGGGGAUCGCAAGACCUCGCGCGAUUGGAGCGGCCGAUAUCAGAUUAGGUAGUUGGUGAGGUAAAGGCUCACCAAGCCGCCGAUCUGUAGCUGGUCUGAGAGGACGACCAGCCACACUGGGACUGAGACACGGCCCAGACUCCUACGGGAGGCAGCAGUGGGGAAUUUUGGACAAUGGGCGCAAGCCUGAUCCAGCAAUGCCGCGUGCAGGAUGAAGGCCUUCGGGUUGUAAACUGCUUUUGUACGGAACGAAACGGUGAGCUCUAAUACAGUUUGCUAAUGACGGUACCGUAAGAAUAAGCACCGGCUAACUACGUGCCAGCCGCCGCGGUAA
rnacentral:rRNA from 1 species